rnacentral:misc_RNA from 1 species
GAUGAAGAACGCAGCGAAAUGCGAUACUUGGUGUGAAUUGCAGAAUCCCGUGAACCAUCGAGUCUUUGAACGCAAGUUGCGCCCGAAGCCACUAGGCCGAGGGCACGCCUGCCUGGGCGUCACACGUCGUUGCCCCCCCCCCAUCUACUCCUUCGGGAUUGCGGGGGGCGGAUGAUGGCCUCCCGUGCGCCUAGCCGCGCGGUUGGCAUAAAUACCAAGUCCUCGGCGACGCACGCCACGCCUAUCGGUGGUUGCGAAACCUCGGUUGCCCGUCGUGUGCGUUCGUCGCGCAUCGAGGGCUCGAAAAAAUGCUCGGCUCCGGCUCGGCUUUCAACGCGACCCCAGGUCAGGCGGGGUUACCCGCUGAAUUUAAGCAUAUCAUAAGCGGAGGA